UACAGUAGGGGCGAGCGUUAUGCCUCGUUAUUAGGCGUAAAGGAUACGUAGGCUGUUCUAAUGUAGUCCAAUGUUAAAUUACCGGCAUUGAAGGUCCAAUAAUACAUAAGGAAACUAUUAGACUAGAGUUAAGGAGACGUUGAUGGAAUUAAAAGAUUAGCGGUAAAAUGCAGUUAUACUUUUAAGAACGCCGGUGGCGAAAGCGAUCUUCGAUUCUUAUACUGACGCUGAGGUAUGUAGGUUAGAGUAAUGAUGCGG
rnacentral:rRNA from 1 species